rnacentral:rRNA from 1 species
UACGUAGGUGGCAAGCGUUGUCCGGAUUUACUGGGCGUAAAGAGCGCGCAGGCGGUCGUUCAAGUCGCGUGUGAAAGCCCCCGGCUCAACUGGGGAGGGUCACGCGAUACUGAUCGACUCGAAGGCAGGAGAGGGAAGUGGAAUUCCCGGUGUAGUGGUGAAAUGCGUAGAUAUCGGGAGGAACACCGGUGGCGAAGGCGGCCCUCUGGACCGAAACUGACACUGAAGCGCGAAAGCUAGGGGAGCAAACGGG